rnacentral:piRNA from 1 species
UAAGAUACCUCCCGCUACUCC